rnacentral:rRNA from 1 species
GCUUACGGCCAUAUCACGUUGAAAGCACCGGUUCUCGUUCGAUCACCGAAGUUGAGCAACAUCGAGCCUAUUUAGUACCUAGAUGGGUGACCGCUUCGGAACCCUAGGUGCUGUAAGCA